rnacentral:misc_RNA from 1 species
CACUAUUCUUUAUCCUUUUACCUCUCGGCUCAAUCAGUCUUUCAAAAUCCUGUUCUGCUGCCUGUGUCUUCUGCGAGAAAUGGCUGAUGAGCUAUCACAGUUCAUACCUAGUCUAGAUGAAAAAGGUACCCCGCUUCAGCCAUUAGUCGCGGUGAUAGACGCAGGCACAAAAACAAUUCGUUUUGCUAUCCUUUCUCCAAAAACAAAGGAAGAAAUUGUACAUUAUCAAACAGACAUUACUAUUAUAAGCCCACAGGAAGGUUGGUUCGAGCAAGAUCCUUUAGCUAUAAUAACCACCAUCAAGGAAUGUUUAAGGAAUGCUAUUAGUAAACUAAAACAAACAUCUACAUAUACAUUGGAACAAAUAGUAACAUUAGGUAUUACAAAUCAAAGAGAAACAACUAUCGUUUGGGAUAAAUUUACAGGAGAACCAUUAUACAAUGCUAUUAUGUGGUAUGACAUCCGGACAGGCGGAAUCGUUGAUACCAUUCUAGCUCAGCACCCAGCCCAAAACAAGGAAUACCUUAAACCGAUAUGCGGUUUGCCUAUUUCCACUUAUUUUUCAGCAGUCAAACUCUACUGGCUUAUGGAAAAUGUUGCAGCCGUUAAGAAAGCAGUAAGCGAAGAUAGGUGUUACUUUGGAACAGUUGAUACAUGGAUUGUUUGGAAUUUGACAGGUGGCCCAAAUGGAGGCCUGCACAUCACCGAUGUUACAAACGCCUCAAGAACAAUGCUAAUGAAUAUAGACACCCUUGAGUGGGAUGAUACACUGUGCAGGCUAUUCAAAGUGCCAAAAAGUAUGCUGCCUCAGAUACGAAGUUCUUCAGAGAUAUAUGGUCAUAUUAAGCUAAAUGGACUUCUUGAUGGCAUACCUAUCUCAAGUAUAUUGGGAAACCAACAAGCUGCUUUGGUUGGUCAAGGCUGUUUAAAAGAAGGCAUGGCCAAAACUACAUACAGAGGGGGUUGUUUUCUUUUAUAUAAUACAGGUGAAAACAGAGUUUAUUCUGAACAUGGAUUGCUAACCACAGUCAGUUAUAAAAUGGGCCCAGAUGCACCAACAAUUUACGCUCUCGAAGGAUCAGUUGCUAUAGCUGGCAAUUCCAUUAAAUGGCUUCGAGACAAGUUGAAUGUUUUAAAUGACCUAUCUGAAACAGAGCAGAUAGCGGAAGAAGUGAUGACGACUGGUGAUGUUUAUUUUGUUCCUGCUUUCAAUGGCCUCUAUGCACCAUACUGGCGAAAGGAUGCACGAGGGAUUUUAUGUGGUUUGACUCAGUUUACAAAAAAAGCCCAUUUGAUAAGAGCUGCGCUGGAGGCUGUUUGCUUUCAGACAAGGGAUAUAUUGGAAGCCAUGCAUAAAGAUUGUGGUGUGCCUUUGUCGAAAGUCAGAGUUGACGGGAAAAUGACUGCAAAUAGUCUUUUGUUGCAAUUGCAAGCAGAUUUAUGUGGCAUUCCUAUCGUCAGAGCACCACAUUUUGCUGAUGUUAACACAUUAGGAUGUGCGAUGGCUGCUGGCUGGGCACAAGGGAUCAACUGUUGGAGUAGAGAUUCAUCUUCUCUCGCCGAAGAUAAAGGAACGACAUUUUGGCCAAAAACAGACACUCAUGAAAUAUGAGAUAUACAAAAUGGAAGAUGGCAGUUCAGAGAAGUUUAGGAUGGGCCGUUACAAAGAGAGACUAUCCCAUGACAGAGGAGCGGUAUAGAAUGA